rnacentral:rRNA from 1 species
UACAGAGGUGGCAAGCGUUGUUCGGAAUUACUGGGCGUAAAGGGCGCGUAGGCGGUUCGAUAAGUCCCGUGUGAAAUCCCUCGGCUCAACUGAGGAACUGCACGGGAAACUGACGGGCUUGAGUUCGGGAGAGGGAAGCGGAAUUCCGGGUGUAGCGGUGAAAUGCGUAGAUAUCCGGAGGAACACCGGUGGCGAAGGCGGCUUCCUGGACCGACACUGACACUGAGGAGCGAAAGCCAGGGGAGCAAACGGG